CUAAGGUCGGCCUGAAAACUGAAGCCCAAAAGGUCGAGGAAGAUUCUCCAUCGGCACCGAGAACAUUCUACAAUCAACUGCCGGACUGGAGCUUUCUUUUUGCUGCCAUAACAACUAUCUUCUUGGCUGCGGAGAAGCAAUUUACCCUGAUUGACUGGAAGCCCAGGCGGCCUGACAUGCUUGCUGAUGCAUUUGGGCUCGGGAAGAUCAUGCCAGAUGGGCUAGUUUUCAGGCAGAAUUUCUCCAUCAGGUCUUAUGAGAUAGGGGC
rnacentral:lncRNA from 1 species